AUGCCUUUCCUUUUCUUAAUUGCUUUCACUUUGGUUUCAGCUUUCCUCCUAUCAAAAUAUCUUUCCAAGUGUCAAACCAAAAAUCUCCCUAGAGGCUCUUUGGGGUAUCCUCUAAUUGGAGAGACAUUGAGUUUUCUAAGAGCUCAAAAAGAAGAUCGAGGCUGGGAUUGGUUAGAAGAAAGGAUAUUGAAACAUGGUUCAGUGUUCAAAACCUCCUUAAUGGGUUCACCAACUGUGGUUAUAAUUGGUCAAGCUGGUAACAAGUUUGUACUUGGUGCUGAAGAAGAUGUUUUUGCAGCCAAACAACCAGCUACCAUGCAAGGCAUUCUCGGAAAGCAAAAUAUAUUGGAACUCACUGGUUAUUGGUAUAGACUGAUAAAGGGAGCAUCGGUGACCUUUUUAAAGCCUGAAAGCCUUCAAAAUUACAUCAAAGAGAUGGAUAGUUUAGCCAAGACCCUAAUAUUGAGAGAAACUAAAGAAAAAGACACAAUUAAGGCUGUGUUUUUCAUGAAGAAGCUUACAUUUACUAUGGCAUGCAUGCAACAUCCUUCUUGGCAUUAGGGAUGAGUACACAAUGGAAGCACUAUCCAAAGAAUUCGCUUCAGCAUCCAAAGCACUUUGGUCUCUUCCUAUAAACUUCCCUGGCACUGUUUACUGGAAAGGCCUAAGAGCUCGGUCAAGUAUUGCCAACCUGAUCUUGCCUAUCUUGAGGAAGAAAAGGGAGGAGCUAUCAAGUGGGAUUCUGAGCCCUACAAGCGACGUCAUAUCUUACAUGCUAGCAUUGAGAGAUGAAAAUCAACAACCAAUCGACGACGAUGCCAUUAUAGACAACUGCAUGACCCUAGUGAUUGCUAGUCAUGAUACAUCUACAAUUCUUCUAAGUCUGAUGAUACGGCAGCUGGCUAGAGAUCCUGAGAUCUACAAGAAAGUUUUAGAAGAACAAAUGGACAUUGUAAGGAAGAGAGAAGGAAAAGAAGAUAAGCUAACAUGGGCCGAGAUAAAAAAAGAUGAAAUACACAUGGCGGGUUUGCACAAGAGCUGAUGAGAACAAUCCCUCGUCUUUGGCGGCUUUAGAAAAGCACUGAAAGAUACUAGCUUUGGUGGUUAUGCCAUUCCCAAAGGAUGGCAGGUGUUUUGGUCCUCCGAUGGAACUCAUAUGAACAAUGACAUAUUUGAAAAUCCAAAAGUGUUUGAUCCCUCUCGGUUUGGGAACCCUGCCAAGCCAAUCCCUCCUUAUGCUUACAUGGCCUUUGGAGGAGGAGUCCACACACAUGUAUUGGAAAUGAGUUUGCCAGGGUUGAGACCCUGACUACCAUCCACAACUUGGUGACGAUGUACGAAUGGUCACAAUUGAACCCUGAGGAAGUGAUUACCCGUCAACCAAUGCCAUACCCAUCCAUGCAUCUUCCAAUUAAGAUCAAACCAAGGCGCAGGGGCCGGAGUGAUAAUCAGGGAUGGCGCCAGGAAGUGAUAGCUGCCCUGAGCAAGAAAUGGAAGUGUCCUUUGGGUGCGACAGAAGCGGAAGCUAAAGCCUUGGAAGCUGGAGUCGAAUUCACAAAGGACGUUGGAAUUAGAGAGGCAGAGUUUGAGAGUGACUCACUGUUAAUUUGUAAUGCUCUACAAGGACUGACUUCACCGCCCUCUUCAGUAAUGAAUGUGCUUGCCGGGGUGAUGAACCAAGUCUCGUACUUCAGGCAGUGGAAGAUUACUCACACUAAACGACAGGGAAAUGUCCCUGCUCACUUACUAGCUCAACACGCUAAAAAUGUUGAGGAUUAUGUUGCAUGGCUAGAGGAAGGUCCUAGCCUGAUAGAGCAUGCUUGUGUACAUGACAGGAAUGUAACUCGUUGA